rnacentral:rRNA from 4 species
GGGGGAUAACCAUUGGAAACGAUGGCUAAUACCGCAUGAUGCCUACGGGCCAAAGAGGGGGACCUUCGGGCCUCUCGCGUCAGGAUAUGCCUAGGUGGGAUUAGCUAGUUGGUGAGGUAAUGGCUCACCAAGGCGACGAUCCCUAGCUGGUCUGAGAGGAUGAUCAGCCACACUGGAACUGAGACACGGUCCAGACUCCUACGGGAGGCAGCAGUGGGGAAUAUUGCACAAUGGGCGCAAGCCUGAUGCAGCCAUGCCGCGUGUGUGAAGAAGGCCUUCGGGUUGUAAAGCACUUUCAGUCGUGAGGAAGGUGGUAGUGUUAAUAGCACUAUCAUUUGACGUUAGCGACAGAAGAAGCACCGGCUAACUCCGUGCCAGCAGCCGCGGUAAUACGGAGGGUGCGAGCGUUAAUCGGAAUUACUGGGCGUAAAGCGCAUGCAGGUGGUUUGUUAAGUCAGAUGUGAAAGCCCGGGGCUCAACCUCGGAAUAGCAUUUGAAACUGGCAGACUAGAGUACUGUAGAGGGGGGUAGAAUUUCAGGUGUAGCGGUGAAAUGCGUAGAGAUCUGAAGGAAUACCGGUGGCGAAGGCGGCCCCCUGGACAGAUACUGACACUCAGAUGCGAAAGCGUGGGGAGCAAACAGGAUUAGAUACCCUGGUAGUCCACGCCGUAAACGAUGUCUACUUGGAGGUUGUGGCCUUGAGCCGUGGCUUUCGGAGCUAACGCGUUAAGUAGACCGCCUGGGGAGUACGGUCGCAAGAUUAAAACUCAAAUGAAUUGACGGGGGCCCGCACAAGCGGUGGAGCAUGUGGUUUAAUUCGAUGCAACGCGAAGAACCUUACCUACUCUUGACAUCCAGAGAACUUUCCAGAGAUGGAUUGGUGCCUUCGGGAACUCUGAGACAGGUGCUGCAUGGCUGUCGUCAGCUCGUGUUGUGAAAUGUUGGGUUAAGUCCCGCAACGAGCGCAACCCUUAUCCUUGUUUGCCAGCGAGUAAUGUCGGGAACUCCAGGGAGACUGCCGGUGAUAAACCGGAGGAAGGUGGGGACGACGUCAAGUCAUCAUGGCCCUUACGAGUAGGGCUACACACGUGCUACAAUGGCGCAUACAGAGGGCAGCAAGCUAGCGAUAGUGAGCGAAUCCCAAAAAGUGCGUCGUAGUCCGGAUUGGAGUCUGCAACUCGACUCCAUGAAGUCGGAAUCGCUAGUAAUCGUGGAUCAGAAUGCCACGGUGAAUACGUUCCCGGGCCUUGU